rnacentral:rRNA from 1 species
CUACGGGCCGCUCCAGUGGGGAAUAUUGGACAAUGGGGGAAACCCUGAUCCAGCAAUGCCGCGUGUGUGAAGAAGGCCUGCGGGUUGUAAAGCACUUUCGGUUGGGAGGACUGCUUCUAGCACUAAUAUUGUUGGAAGUUGACGUUACCUUCAGAAGAAGCACCGGCUAACUCCGUGCCAGCAGCCGCGGUAAUACGGAGGGUGUAAGCGUUAAUCGGAAUUACUGGGCGUAAAGCGCGCGUAGGCGGCUAGAUCAGUCGGGUGUGAAAGCCCCGGGCUUAACCUGGGAACUGCAUCCGAUACUGUCUAGCUUGAGUACAGGAGAGGAGAGUGGAAUUCCACAUGUAGCGGUGAUAUGCGUAGAUAUGUGGAGGAACACCAAUGGCGAAGGCAGCUCUCUGGCCUGAUACUGACGCUGAGGUGUGAAAGCGUGGGGAGCAAACAGGAUUAGAUACCCGUGUAGUC